ACUUCGCCAGAUGAUUAUAUGACCCAUCAAGUUAGCCCUAAUCACCAUCAGACACACCUGGCUAUCUACUGUAUAACAAUGCUAACAUAUUUGUGUCUGGAAUUUGUCUUUCCGCAUCAGUAGAACACUUCUUACUCUCCUCCACCAGUCAUACAAGGAGAAUGCCUCCCAUCAAAAAGAGAGCUGUCCCAAGCAAGAACAGGUUUCACCUUGAAGCAUGAGGACUUGCAGCGAGAUGUGAACUUCAUCAACAACUACGCAGAGGAUAAUGCAAUAGCAUUACCAGGACUGCACCCAGUACACAAAUACUUUGGUGGAAAGUUGCUGCCAUCUCAAAACCAGAGUGAACACUUUGUCUGAGAUUGCUGGUGUUGCGAAGGACAGUGCUGUGACAGUGGUCAACAUCCCACAGCUGGUUGGACUGGAGGAUGGUACGCUGCUGGUGGAAAGCUAUGGCUGGCAACAACACCUGGCUCUGUGCUUCAGGCCGCUGCCACAGAUCAAGCAGUACCAGCACUUCAGCCUGGUGUUGUUGUCGCCAAGGAGCGUUCGGACACAGUCGGGACCAGGUUUCAGCUACUGCACAACGCUGACAUCCUCCCUCCCAUAGAUGGUCGGCUUGUACAAGCACCACCUAGACUGGACACAGCUAGACAAACUCAUCUUUUUGAGAAGAUAUGGGAGUUUUGUGACCAAGAGACUAUGUACAUCACAUGCCCUGCACUAAAGGCAAGGGCAGGACAUCAACGGGAUCUCCGAAUAUAGAUUCCUUUGUUCAUUCGUGGUUCGGACGGACCAGUUCAUUACUGGGGGAGAGUUCUCAGUCAUCAGCGCUAUCUGCAGUGCCUCUAUAGACAUUCACAUCACUUCCUAAUACACACGCCAUAUGUUGCUGCUACUAUUUAUUUUUGUAUCCUGCUGCUCAGCCACUUUACCCCUCACUGUAUGCAUAUAACUACCCCAUCUAUCACCAGUAUCACUGAUAUUGUUAUUAAUAUUGUUCUUGUACAUACUGUAUCUUAUUUUGUUCUUUCUCUACUGGCAUUGACACUUGUUAUUUGUUCUUUAUAUUGACACUAUCUAUUUUUGAUAUUGCUACUAUGCAAGUAACCAUUUCGCUGUACUGUUUACACCUUCUGUAGAGACCCAUCCACUUAGCAAGAUGUGGCUGGUGGUUAUAGCAUUUCUUUCACAUGACCCAUCAAUUUAGACAAGUGUGUCUGGGUAAGCGUCAACUAAUAUUUAUAAAUGAUUUUUAUCUGGA